CUGGAAACUGCCAAGGUGUAUGUGUUGGGGGGAGGGGAGCAAAUCCCCCACCACCACCUCCCUAUAAUUGACUUCUGCAGAAGUGAGCAUUGACAUUUAUGAAGCCUAGACAAAGGGACCAUGUUUGGUGGUGUUUAGGCUUCUGUUUCAGGAAAAAAGAAACUGUCUCCUGAUGCAGCUGGAAGAAGCCACCCGCCUCACGUCCUACCUCCAGUCCUAGUUACAAAGGUGGCCAAGGCAAGUGCGAGAGUGAAUAAUCACCUACAGGCAAAGCUGACCAAGAAAACUUCUCAGAAACCGCCCACCACGAGGAACCUUAGAAAAAUCGGAGGCUCAAAACUCUGUAGCCAGGGUUCCAAGGUGAAUGAAGAGCUGAAUCAGAACGGACCAGAGGAGGUCCCAGAGAGUGUGGAGAUGCCUGUCAUUCCAGCGGGAC
ensembl:lncRNA